rnacentral:rRNA from 1 species
AGUGGCGGACGGGUGAGUAACACGUAAGAAUUUGCCUUUAGGAGGGGGACAACAACUGGAAACGGUUGCUAAUACCCCAUAUGCUUUCGAGUGAAAUGGAUUUUUCCGCCUAAAGAGAAGCUUGCGGCUGAUUAGCUUGUUGGUGAGGUAAUGGCUCACCAAGGCGACGAUCAGUAUCUGGUUUGAGAGGAUGAUCAGACACACUGGAACUGAGACACGGUCCAGACUCCUACGGGAGGCAGCAGUGGGGAAUUUUCCGCAAUGGGCGAAAGCCUGACGGAGCAAUCUCGCGUGAGGGAUGACGGCCUGUGGGUUGUAAACCUCUUUUUUCAGGGAGGAACAAAAUGACGUGUACCUGAAGAAUAAGCAUCGGCUAACUCCGUGCCAGCAGCCGCGGUAAGACGGAGGAUGCAAGUGUUAUCCGGAAUCACUGGGCGUAAAGCGUCUGUAGGUGGUUUGAUAAGUCAACUGUUAAAUCUUGAAGCUCAACUUCAAAAUCGCAGUCGAAACUAUUAGACUAGAGUAUAGUAGGGGUAAAGGGAAUUUCCAGUGGAGCGGUGAAAUGCGUAGAUAUUGGAAAGAACACCGAUGGCGAAGGCACUUUACUGGGCUAUUACUGACACUCAGAGACGAAAGCUAGGGUAGCGAAUGGGAUUAGAUACCCCAGUAGUCCUAGCCGUAAACAAUGGAUACUAGAUGU